GAUGAAGAACGUAGCGAAAUGCGAUAAGUAAUGUGAAUUGCAGAAUUCAGUGAAUCAUCGAAUCUUUGAACGCACAUUGCGCCCCUUGGUAUUCCGAGGGGCAUGCCUGUUCGAGCGUCAUUAUAACCCCUCAAGCUUAGCUUGGUGUUGGGGCCUGCUGUAAUAGAGCAGCCCUUAAAAUCAGUGGCGGUGCCAUUAGGCUCUAAGCGUAGUAAUUCUUCUCGCUAUAGGGUUCUGGGGGAUGCUUGCCAUUAACCUCUAAUUUUCUAUGGUUGACCUCGGAUCAGGUAGGGAUACCCGCUGAACUUAAGCAUAUCAAUAAGCGGAGGA
rnacentral:misc_RNA from 1 species